CAGGGUGUAGCUCAGCCAGCGUAGAGCGCGUGUUUCGGGCGCACGAGGCCGCAGGUUCAAAUCCUGCCACCCUGA
rnacentral:tRNA from 1 species